ACCACUAGAGCUAAGAAUAAUAUUAAUAAAUAAAUAAGGCAUUUGUUAUUGGUUUUUGAAGUGAUAAUUUUCUUGGCUUCGCUCCUCUUUAACGCAACCAUUUGUUUAGUUCCUUUUAACUUUUCUAAAUGCAUAAUACUAUAGCCAUGAGUUGCAUGGGCCAUUCUUGUUUAUUCUCUGAUCACCAGAAAACACCUUCCUCAUCAUUCCAUUCUUACUGUACAUGAAGAAAUCCAAAAGUUCUUAUAUAUUGCCAUCUUUAUCCUCCUACCUAUGAGAAUAGGUUUGCCCCUUAUCCAACAGUACCCCACCCCCUAACCAAAAAAAAAUUCGUUCGCCCUUAAUCAGAAGAUCAAUAUGCCCCUAAGCGAAAAGAGAUCAAUUAUUUGUGGAUGCUUGUUAUUCAUCUUAUGCAUUCAAGUCCUGUCAAGCUUGGGUUUGGAAAGCUUUUCCACAUUAGAGAAUGAAGGUUCCAAGCUCUCAAAGCGCUUCAUGCAAGACCGAGAAGUUCAUGCAAGAGUCGAUGGUGAUUUGAAUGGAAACUGUGAUGAGAAAGGUUACAUUCGAAAGCAAAAAAUAUAUGAGUCGGAAAAGUCGCAGAGAGGGAAGGGAUCUUAUGGUGGUGGAAACAUUGCUCAUCGACCACGCCCCACGACAAGAAGUGCAGCAUCGUUGUUAGCAAAGCCCCCAAUUUUCAUCUCUACCUUAAUUUGUUUUAUCAUAAGCUUCGCUUUGAUGAUCCAUAUUUUUCCCUUCCCAUUACUCUAGGUAUAAAUAUGGAUAUGAAGUUCGAUAUGUUGCUACGGAUUCUAUUUCCUUUCCCCUAUUUCACAUCUUCCUUCCCCCUAAAUAAAAAAAUAAAAAAUUUCUCCUUUCUUCUUUU